rnacentral:rRNA from 1 species
CUGCGGAAGGAUCAUUGUUGAGAUAUCAAACAUAACAAUUUGUUUGUUAUAUAUGCGGGGGAUUGCUUGUGUUGUAAAAGAUGCUUUCCUUGACGGCUGCUCAUGUUAACCAUGGAUUAGCCUUGUAAAAUUUCUGUAUUUCAUAUUUCUAUGGAAUUUGUGAUAUAGAAAAAAGAUGAAGGCAUGGUAAGAUAUUGUUACCAAGUAUAUAUUAUGGUAUAUAUAUUGGGCGUGGUCUAGUAAAUGAUUAGAAGGCCCAAAUGAUCUGUGUUAGUUAUCAUAUGACUCUCGACAAUGGAUAUCUUGGCUCUCUUUUCGAUGAAGAACGUAGCAAAAUAUGAUACUUAAUGUGAAUUGCAGAAUCUCGUGAAUCAUUGAGUCUUUGAAUGUAAGUUGUGCUCGACGCUUUUUAGUUAAGGGCAUGUCUGCUUGGGUAUCAUGCAUGAUAUUAUUUUUUCAUAAAAUAUAAAUGGUUGGAAAUAUUUUUGGCCUUCCGCGGUGACACUGUUGUGGUGGGUUGAAGCAUAAUCGAAUGGCUUUUAGAGUAUGGCACACUGUUUUGGUGGAUUUCAUAGUCCUAAAUAUGUUAAACGAUUUGUUUGUGUGCCAAAAAUAAUACUAUUUGGUGUUAAUAACCGUUAAAGUGGCUGCUUUUUGUGAUCUCAGGUUUGGCAUGGACACUCGCUGAGCUUAAGCAUAUCAAUA